UACGGAGGGUGCAAGCGUUAUCCGGAUUCACUGGGUUUAAAGGGUGCGUAGGCGGACUUUUAAGUCAGUGGUGAAAUCCUGCAGCUUAACUGCAGAACUGCCAUUGAUACUAUUUGUCUUGAAUGUCGUGGAGGUUAGCGGAAUAUGUCAUGUAGCGGUGAAAUGCUUAGAUAUGACAUAGAACACCUAUUGCGAAGGCAGCUAACUACGCGAAUAUUGACGCUGAGGCACGAAAGCGUGGGGAU
rnacentral:rRNA from 1 species